rnacentral:rRNA from 1 species
UACAGAGGCCUCGAGCGUUAGGCGGAAUCACUGGGCUUAAAGCGUGUGUAGGUGGAGUUCUAAGUCCCUUGUGAAAUCCCACGGCUCAACCGUGGAACUGCUGGGUAUACUGGUUCUCUUGAGGUACCUAGGGGCGAGCGGAACAAGUGGUGGAGCGGUGAAAUGCGUAGAUAUCACUUGGAACGCCAACGGUGAAAACAGCUCGCUGGGGGUAUCCUGACACUGAGACACGAAAGCCAGGGGAGCAAACGGG